AAGAAACAAUCUACCGUACAAGUUGAACAUGCACACAACCUGCGUUUAUCAGGCACCCACACUGGCUCUAACUAUACAUCAUUGUCGAAUGAUGCGUCGGCACUUCCUGAUUCAACGGAGGUCUCGACUGGGAUCGUUAAUGACAUAGAGCUACAAGACGGGAUAUUGAAUGACAUACACGAAACAAAUGAAAGAACUGAAGAAGAACGCAAGAGAGACCAUAGAAACGCCCUAAGGCGAGCUGCUUAUAGGAGGAACAAGGAUAAGCGAAUCCAUGA